UCCUAUAUUUCCUUCAUCACUAGAUGAGCCC
rnacentral:piRNA from 1 species